AAGGAAUAUGUUCUGUUUCUAGUGUUGGCCAUACCGAUAAAUUUUGAUGUUUGUACCGCCAUGAGAUGAUUACAAAUGCUUAGAAAGAGAAAAUAGUUAUAGUAGUAUUUUCAGGUCAUAGGAAUAAACUGGAAAGGAGUGUACGCAAGUAUGUUCAUUACAGGCAGCAGCUGCAGAAAAGCGCGAAAUUUUGUUUGCCUUUUUGCACAGUUUCGUAACUUCAAGGCAUCCUUUGGUUAUUUGUUGUGUAAUGGAAACUUGUUAGUUGCUGGUUCCAAGCCCGGCCGUAAAUCAUACUCACAUUUUAUUCGUUUAAAUAAGUAUGAUUGCCAUGGAAUGUUGAUGUCUGAGCUUCAGAAUGAUUUCAAGGAAGUACUGAGUAGCAGUAUGAGUACGGGGACUUCGAAAGUUAAAGGAGGAGCAGCAAGUGAGCCGCAAGGAAUCCACGAAAGUGUCUCCGCACUGCAAAUGAGGACCCGAGUUCAGCGGCGAAAAAGACCGCAUUUGGAAGAAGAGGAUGGAAGAAAACUCGGGUACUGGAAUGUAGUUGCAUUUACAACAGCUGAAGAAUAUGAUCUGGAGAAACUGACUAAAGGACUAUUACAACAAAAUCUGUAUGUGCCGAUUCCACCACCAAGAGCACUAACAGAUCAAAACCAAGUGGUUCCAGAUGUUGUGCAUGUAGCAGCUAGGUAUGAAGUUGGUGAUGAGCCUAGAGAAAUCUAUUUCUUUCGUGAAGGCACGACUGUCUUUUGGAAUGUUCCUGAACUGGAGAGUGGUAAUGUCCUCAGCUUCAUACGACAGUUUGAAGAAAACAGUUAUGAUGAACGGCUAGUUCAUGAUGAGAGUGAGGUUAUGCCGUACACUCAUGCAGUUGGAAAACAAAGUCACAUUCAAGAUGGUCAUAUUAUGCUUGGAAGUGAGGGCCAGACAGAACUGGAUAAGUACACGUUCUCCAAUGUGAUGGCUCUGUCUGUAAAGUUGGGUGUCUGGGAAGCAUCUCUUAACAGAUAUGUAGAUAGCAUCGAAUUUGUUAUUGAGGAUUUAAAACAUGGCACCAAGAUUAGUAUGUCAAGGGAAGAUGUUCUGCGCAAAACAGGUGAACUGUUUUCCUUGCGCCAUCUAAUAAAUUUGAGCUCAGACUUACUAGAUACUCCAGACUUUUAUUGGGAACAUGAGGGACAGGAAGAACUGUACAAAAAAAUGUGCAGCUACUUCAGCAUCAGCAGGCGGACAAGAGUGAUGAAUGAGAAGCUGAAUCAUUGUGUGGAGUUGGUUGAACUCCUGUCAUCACACCUCAGCGAUCGACAUCACAUUCGUCUAGAGUGGAUGAUCAUAAUACUUAUCAUGGUGGAAGUUGGCUUCGAGAUCAUUCACUAUGCAGACCGCUACAUGUAGCAAUUAUUGUAUGAUGUUCUGAAUGAUUUUCGUAUCAGGAUACCGUAAAACAUCAAGGAUCAUAUUGGCUUCAUUGAGAACAGAUGCAACAGAAACAUAAGUGUUGGAGAGUUUGUCUGCCCCUCCAAUCAUCAUUUGAGGUCACUGCUUUAUAUCUGCAAUCUGAGUCCUGUAUAUUGCUGUAAAAUGUGACAAAGGUACUUAACAUUGGACUUCUGAAAUUUUUAACAAUGACCAUUGCUUUUGUCAUAGGCAUGUAGAAUAUUAUGUAAAUAAUUCUGUAAUUUAGGCAUGAUGAUGUUUCAUAUUGGUUGAUAACACUUUUGAAAUGCACAUUUUAAAUCUCUUUCUUAAAACUGAAAACUAGAACAGUUUUUAGCCAUCAUUGUCUGGGAACAGGGACUUUAAAUGUCCUGGUGUUACAAGUUGGCAGUCUAACCAUAAUACAGGGGUAACAGUUUAUAGUCUGAUAAUAGGGGAUUUAAAAUGUUCUGGUUCCACAGGGCUGAUGACAUACUUUAAGUCUGAGUGAAUAAUAAUAAUAUUGAAUGAAUGCAACACUCUUGCUACCUGACUGUAUACAUGUGCCACUACACUAAUGCAGCACAUGGCCAGUGAAGUUUAACUUACACAGACUGAUAGUAAAUUUGUGUAGUCAUUUUGGUAUGUCUUAAUUAUGGACUGAAGAGGUACAGUAUUUACAGGACUAGGUGAGUUCUUGCUGUUAAUGGAUAUAUCUGGAAUGAGGACUGAUCAGCUAGUCACAUACAGAACUAUUCAUGGCAAGGAAAGAAUGAAAAAAAUGCAGAUAUGAACAGGACAUUUUGACCAGCUUAGCCAGACUUCCUUGCCAUUAAAUGAUAUAACUAUAUCACUUGAGUCUGGUUGGGUAAAUGUAAACAUACUACUUGUAUAAAUUUUGUUUCAUAUUGUUGCACAGGUGAACACCUUAUUUCUUUAAGAUCCGUUUUCAUAUUCUUCUCCGAGAUUUUCCUGUGAAAACUUUGUAUGCAUUUAUGUUGUCCUCUCCUAUCUCAUCCUCCUCAAUUUGAUCAUUCUGAUAUCUCAUGAGGCAUGCAAGUUACAGACAUCUUCAUUGUGAAUUUUCUUGAACAUCCUGUUACUUCAUCCAUCUUUGGUGCAAAUAUUCUCAUCAACACCUCAUUCUCAAACAUCCUCAGUUUAUAUUCUUCCCUUAGUAUGAGAAACCAGGAAGCAUUGACUUCAGGCAAUGACUUCAUUAAGUGCCACAUGUA